AUGUCACUCAUAUUACUGUUUCUUCUCUCUGCAUUUGUAGCUGAUAGUAUGGAGCAGGAAACAAUAACUCCAGUGAAGCCUGAAGUCAAUGCUCUCCAAGGAACAGACAUCACUCUGUCCUGCAACUACAAGGGCAAUGUUAAUAGUCUACAAUGGUACCGUCAAUAUCCCGGAUCCAGACCAGAAUGUCUUCUUUGGAUCCUACCAACAACCAACAAGUAUACAGAAUACAUCCAUUACGACUCCACGACACACUGGUAGACUGAAUGAAGAAAAGACCCGUGUUGACUUGAUGAUCUCCUCUGUUGAAUUGGAAGACUCUGCUCUGUACCACUGCGCCUUGCAGCCCACAGUGACAGGAAACCCAGACACACUGUACAAAAACUUGUCAAGACCCUUGGGGAUGAACAGUGCAUUGGUAGAGACAUUGUUCACUCUCAGUGUGUUCUGUAUAACCAUGGUACUCUGUCUGAUCAUCUGGCUGGUUCUUGAUGUAUUCUGCUUUGAGUGCACAGGAGACAAUGUGAAACAGCAACCAGGAGCUGUGAUUGUUACAGAAGGAGGACUGGUAACACUGAGUUGUCAAUAUAACACCAGUGCUAAUAAUGCAUAUCUAUAUUGGUACAAACAAGAAGCAAAUGACUUCCCUAAACAUAUGCUGAGCCGUUAUUCAUUUGGAUCUGGAGACAACGCUGCAGGGUUCAAGGAGAGAUUUGAUGCCCGUCUCGAUGCAGAUUCAAAAUCAGUCCCCUUGACGAUCCAGAGGGUGCAGCUGUCUGACUCUGCUGUGUACUACUGUGCCCUGCAGCCCACUGUGAGAGGAAACCUGUGCACACUGUACAAAAACCUGGAGAAAAAAACUGACAUCCCCUAGACAUCCCCUCAUUUUUUAUUUCAUCAUUACUUUGUGUAGACAAAAAACACACACUGAAAAUGAACAAUGAACGAUUUUCAAUGAACAAUAAAACACAAAUGUUAAAAAUGUU